AUCCAGCUGACAAGUCGCAAACAGGACGAAAUACGCUUCCUGGAU
rfam:Schistosoma mattheei strain Denwood, Zambia genome assembly, scaffold: SMTD_contig0000394